rnacentral:rRNA from 1 species
AUGAACGUUGGCGGCGUGUCUAAGGCAUGCAAGUCGAGUGGGUUUAGACCCACGGCAAACGGGUGCGUAACACAUUGGUAAUUUACCCUUAACCCGGGCAUAACUCGCCGAAAGGCAAGAUAAUUCCCGAUAGUCAUGGGGGGACGAAAGUCAUUCCCAUGUAAAGAUUUAUCGGUUAAGGAAAAGCCUAUGGCCCAUCAGCUAGUUGGUAGGGUAAUGGCCUACCAAGGCAACGACGGGUAGCGGGUGUGAGAGCAUGACCCGCCUCACUGGGACUGAGACACUGCCCAGACUCCUACGGGAGGCUGCAGUCAAGAAUAUUCCGCAAUGGCCGCAAGGCUGACGGAGCGACGCCGCGUGCAGGAAGACGCCCUUCGGGGUGUAAACUGCUUUUUUCUGGGACGAAAUUUUGACGGUACCAGAAGAAUAAGCCACUGCUAACCUCGU